UAAAAGGAAAUUCAGAGCAAACAGCUUCC
rnacentral:piRNA from 1 species